AUUGAACGCUGGCGGCAUGCCUAACACAUGCAAGUCGAACGAAGGCUUCGGCCUUAGUGGCGCACGGGUGCGUAACGCGUGGGAAUCUACCCCUCGGUUCGGAAUAACAGUUAGAAAUGACUGCUAAUACCGGAUGAUGACUUCGGUCCAAAGAUUUAUCGCCGAGGGAUGAGCCCGCGUAAGAUUAGGUAGUUGGUGGGGUAAAGGCCUACCAAGCCGACGAUCUUUAGCUGGUCUGAGAGGAUGAUCAGCCACACUGGGACUGAGACACGGCCCAGACUCCUACGGGAGGCAGCAGUGGGGAAUAUUGGACAAUGGGCGAAAGCCUGAUCCAGCAAUGCCGCGUGAGUGAUGAAGGCCUUAGGGUUGUAAAGCUCUUUUACCAGGGAUGAUAAUGACAGUACCUGGAGAAUAAGCUCCGGCUAACUCCGUGCCAGCAGCCGCGGUAA
rnacentral:rRNA from 1 species